ACUAAGUCACGCAUUUUAGGAAAGAAUAACCUAUUACGCUUUAAAAAGCAGGAGGGGCUGGAUGGGCAGGCCCCCGCAGACCCUCCUCGAGGGUAGUUCCUUUUCCCACAGAGAGACUGGGGGUUGCAGACAUGGGACGUGGUACCACAAAAGGGAAAUUGAGGAUGUGAAAAUUUGAAGAUGACCUCCAGCUGGGCAGACAGGGAAUAAAGGGUGGGACAGUUUCCUUCCUGUAUAUACCUGAGACCUCAGAGCUGUUCUACUGCUGGAGGGAAAGAAUAUGGAGGUACUUGGCCAGGUUCUACAGAAAUGGGAGCAGACAUACAUCUCCUAUGCUGACCUUGUGUUCCCACAUCAACACUGCACAUGGGUCUGAGCAACACAAACCUGCAUGGAACCUGGGGAUGCAGCCUAACAGCCUGCCCCUUGCCCAGAUCCCAGCACACCCAACAAUGGACCCACUAAGCUGCACUGAUACUGGUGAUGGGUUUUGCUGCCUGCCUGUUCCCACCUAGAUGUGAUGCCCCAGACUUGCUGCUUGGCCUGGCCUUCAAACACCACAAGAAACCACAUUAUGCAUGUACAUGCAGGUAUGCACAUGUGUAUGUAUACUCAUUAAUGAGUAUGCAUACAUCUGUACAUGUUCUUGCAUGCAAAAGUGCACAUUUUCUGUUGUGUAGCAUGUGUGUACUGGUGUGUAUGUGCACACAUAUGGCCAUGUGUCCAUCAACGUUUCCUCUUUCACUACUUCAGGACACUAGUCAGUAAAGUGUCAGUCACCAACACUUUGAAAUUCACAACCAACCAUUUGACUGAUUAAAUGGUUGUUAAAUGAUUAAUUGUGUGGUUUUGUUUCAUGUCACCUGGGGCAGAGCAUCCUUCUAAGGCAAUGCAUGAAAAUCCAGGUAUCUGUAUCCAAUGAUUCUACAGUAAAACUUGGCUUGUUUGACAGUUUGUCUGCCCAAGUCCAUGCACAGUGCCAUUGUAUCAUUUCCUUAAAACUGAGUCCUCAGAUCUAAGGACAGUUUCUCUUGCUGAAGAAAUAAUGCUUUACAAACUCAGCAUUUAUCUCGUAAAAAUGCUAAGAUAUGUUUGUCUAAUUUUGGAAUUCUAAUAAACUCCUGGCAGGAAAUAGAAUAAGACCCACUUGAAGAAAGGCCAAGACCUGCCUUGUUUUCCAGGUAACACAAAAUAUCAGCUUUGAACAACUGCCUUAAAGCUUCAGGAACGUAGAGAAAUAUGAAUGAAAGCUGCUGAAUUGGAGUGCAGAGUAGGGUGGUACCAGGAAACUGUCUAUUCAGGAGGGAUGGUUGGCAGCUCUAUGCCAGGUUCCCUGAGAACUGAUCUUUAUAAGAAUCUGACUUUAGCAAUAGUGGGAUUUUAUUUCCUCUAUUAACCUUUAAAAAUGAAACCUUGCUACUCUACAUCUCAUAUCUGCCUCUGUAAAAGUGAAGCUAACAAUAUUUGUGGACUUGGGAGUUAGGAACAUCAAAUCUUGAAACACUUCACCUAGUUUGUUGGGCUUGAGGAAGAGGCUAAUUUGCCCAUGGUCCCUGCCUGGAACAAUGCAGGUUACCCCUGCUGCUCUGGCCAGACAAUAUGCAUAAUUUGCCUGCCCUGGCCACUGGUUUUCCCCACCCCAGUCCUCUCUGCAAAAUUUCUGUUCCAAGAAAUGUCUGAAGCUUUAGAGAGGCCACUGACUUUGAUAGAGAUUUUGAAAAACUCAUGCAGCAUCUAAGAUUUUGAGUUGUGCGAAAUUCAUAAGACUAAAUGCCUCAGAAAACACAAAGGUCCAAGGAGGAUUGACUUGGUACAUUUAUGCCACCCAGAGGUUCAUUCCACAUAGGCUGCCUCUGCAAGGAGCCAUCCUGUGCUCACCCCCCCCCCCACCAAGCUGGAGACUGGCCUAUAACCACCUAUGAGGGCUCUGUUCUCAGUUGGGAACACCUGGCAAUGUGAUAUACUUGGAUUUUGACAAAUAGGAAAAAGUAUCUUGAGUCUCUUUCUGCUGUGAUUUGUAAUAUUUCUGCUUAGGUUGAUGGUCAACAGACUGCUAACCUGGAUCAGGAGGAUUGGGCUGAAUGACCCAACAGUGGGACCAGUGAGUCAGGCUAAACCCCCUUUCUGAACUUGCCCCAAGAGAACAAAGGCCUGAUAUAGGUGAGAACCAAGUAAACUAGCCAUGAGUAAUUGCUUUUCCUCUGGUGGGUUCAGUAUAGUCAUCAGGACUGAACCUGUUGACUCCUUGAUCAGAUCCUCAAACUUCAAAGAAAUUGGCUAAGCAUCAGUAGGCCUAGUUCUUACCGCCACAGACCAACACAUGGCUGGUGGCAGGCCUCACCAUUCUUCAUGGAAAUACGGUGGGACUCCUCCUUCUCUAGUGGCCUUGACAUAGAGGGCAGCCCAGCCAAGUCCCAGCUGGGACCAGAAGGCCACAAUCACUAGGGGUGCAGGGGAGCUCUGGGCAGGACAUCUGGGAGCUGAGGAAAGGCCCUAUCAUGUGGUCUGCAACUGGGAACUGUGCCUUAGCCAUUCCCUGGUGGCUUUAUCACAGUCAGAACUAGCCUUCCAUACACUGAAGACUCUACCCAGGAUUUCCAUGUCUCCUCUGGCCUGAAGUGCUUGGUACUGGUGUUCAUGUAACAGAGAAACCGCUCCCCUCUAGCAUAGGCAAGAGGCAUAUCUUUUGGGCCAGAGCACUGCUCCCAGCUGGUCUGCCAGUGGUACCUACCUGG